GACGAACGCUGGCGGCGUGCUUAACACAUGCAAGUCGAGCGAGUGAAUCUCCUUCGGGAGUGAAGCUAGCGGCGGACGGGUGAGUAACACGUGGGCAACCUGCCUCAUAGAGGGGAAUAGCCUUCCGAAAGGAAGAUUAAUACCGCAUAAGAUUGCAGCUUCGCAUGAAGUAGCAAUUAAAGGAGCAAUCCGCUAUGAGAUGGGCCCGCGGCGCAUUAGCUAGUUGGUGAGGUAACGGCUCACCAAGGCGACGAUGUGUAGCCGACCUGAGAGGGUGAUCGGCCACAUUGGGACUGAGACACGGCCCAGACUCCUACGGGAGGCAGCAGUGGGGAAUAUUGCACAAUGGGGGAAACCCUGAUGCAGCAACGCCGCGUGAGUGAUGACGGCCUUCGGGUUGUAAAGCUCUGUCUUCAGGGACGAUAAUGACGGUACCUGAGGAGGAAGCCACGGCUAACUACGUGCCAGCAGCCGCCGUAACAC
rnacentral:rRNA from 1 species